rnacentral:lncRNA from 1 species
AAAAAUGGUUAGGGAACCUGUUUUUCAGUGGGAGGCACUUGAUAGUGAGUGUAAGGAAGUAGACAGAGCCUUCAAGGAUCUGAGGGGAUUCAGUUCAAAAGCCUCAACAAAGAUAUACCAUACCGGACGGACGCCCAUUAGCAACAGAGGGAACAGGAAUGUGGUAGUUAACAAGAGGCCGCAUGGUAUGCAGUUUUAAGCCACACGGGUGGGAGAGUGGCUACUCUGCUGUACUGUUCACAAAGAUCGUUUAUGGGGAAAGACUGAGGAUGUGGGAGGCAGGGAAACUGACACAGAGCAGAGGUAGGAGACUUACAGUAAUAGCUAAGAUGGAAUAAGGUGGCCAGAAAAAAGCAGUAGGGGUGAGAAAGAAUCAUCAGAUACAAAAUACUUUUGAAACGAAACACAGGACUUGGUGGUAGAUGAGCAUGAAGAAGAGAAUGACUGCCCAUGUGAGUGAUAAUGGAGAGCUGAAGUAGAAAAGACUUAGUUAUUUUGUGUAGAGGAGUUGAUUGUGCAUUUCAGAGCUGAAUGUAAAGCAACAUAUAGAUAGCAGCAUUAAGUUUUAGAUAAAACACAUGUGGUCUUUUAGAACCACAUUCUUGAAGGUUUUAAGUAAAACAAGGAAGGUCUUGUACCUAAGGCUCUCCCGUGUACUCAUUAAAAAAGGUUAGGGGAUCCUGAGUCUCCCUAAAAGAACGAGGAAAGACUAGACAGCAUCCCAGCAGAUUCCUAAUUAGAUGCAUCUUCUGCCAUUGUAGAACAUACAAAUAUGGAGGAAUUAGAUCAUUUCAAAAUUGUCUAUUAGAAACAAAAGUAUGUAUAGCUAUAUGAAAAUCAUUAAACCUAAGUAACACUUUUAUAGUUUAUAGUUAAGAGCUGUGAUUAUAAAUCUAUAGCAACAUUCAUUCUAAAAUCAGUUCUCAAUAAUUUUUCUUUCUUUCACAGAAAAUGCUUGGCCAGAAGAGAUGAGUACUAAUUCCACUCAGGCCUAGAAUUGCCUAUUGAGAUAGACCUGAGCAGGCGACAUACGAAUGGCCCAAGGAAGCCACCAAAUUGAUUUUCAGGUUUUACAUGACCUGCGACAAAAAUUCCCAGAAGUGCCUGAAGUUGUUGUAUCCAGGUGCAUGUUACAGGUUAGUAUUCAAUGAUUUUUUGAUUUAUUGAUACAAUACUAUUUAUAAUAUUAACCUGGUGGUUUUUAGAUAUUGGAGAAAAACUCUGUUAGCAUUACUGUGCUGUAAUGAAAAAUGAUCUUUGGUGUCUCAUAGUAACAUGGCCUCUGGCAAAAUAGGGUUCUCAGUGCCUGCCUGUAAUACAGGCCUUGUCUGCCCUAUAGACAAGAGUUCUGCUUUCUAUAAUCUUGUUCCCUUUUCCUCAUCCUCUCGUCAGAUUUGUGAAAUCCCAGAUCUUUGUAUGGAAAUGGGGGAAAAAUAAUUGAGUCAGAAAGCUUGUUCUUCUGUUGAUUGGUACAUUUGUCAAAACAGUGUUGGCAUGUCAGUCUAUUAUCUCUGACAUGAGGGAUUUGUAUGAACAGUGCAUAACUUCCCAAUUAUGAAGAAAAAUGUUUUUUAUAUUUCUAAGUUUACUUUAUAAAUUUUCCAAUUAAUCUCUCCAAUUUCUACAUUUUCUUAGUAUACAAAAUUCUAGAAAUCCAUAAUUCUUAGUAUUUAGUGAUAGUUGUAGCUGGCCAUUCAUUUAACCUGGAAAUCUUCCUCCCAAAAGGCGUUUUGAAGAUCCUUCAAAAUUUGAAAGGUUAUUUAUAAAGUUUGAUAGUGUAUGAAAUUUUUAUCCUAUUUUAUAGUGACUACAUAUAUGUCACUCAUACCCUUAUCAUCUUUGAUCUGUAUUUUGAGUUGUUCUGUAUGUUUUCAGCCUUAACCUAGUUUGAGUCCCACCAAUCAUCUUCCUAAGUGAAUCCUUUCUAAAUGAAGAUAUUAUUGUUUCUUGGCAGUGUAAAUACAGGUUAUUAUAUAUUUGCCAUUUAAAAUUUUUUUCCAUGUUCUUCAAGAUGAAUUAUAUAUAAUCCAGGUAUAUUAACUGCUAGGAUACGUGACUCACAGUUCUAAAAAGAGUAACAGUAAUGGAAGUUCCCCAUUAAAAUAUUUGGUAAAUGAGUCAGUAGUUAGUUCACACUUAUCAAUGUAGAAUGUAAUGG